CACGAACUCCCCGGUGUCGUGGUUGAUGAUGAGCACGCAGUCCUUCUGGUACGGCCGCUUGUUUCCCUUGAACACCGUCAUGGGCGGCGUGGAGCCCUGCAGGAACAACAGCCAUGUGGAUUUGUGACCGAGGGGAAUUUAGGAGACGAAUGUUUUCUCUCCAGCGCAGCCUCACCGGAAUGUGAGGUAACGUGAUGGUGACCUCGUCUCCUUUGCCGACCUGCAGCUCGCCCUCGCAGCUCGUAUCGAUGGACGCUGGUUUGAAGUCAUCUGAAAAGGGACAGACGGGUUUCUGGAUGUGACUGUAAAUGUACACUUUUUAGAUGUCUGACGGUGUCGAUAAUGACUCAUUUCAAAGCUUAUACAUCCAACAUUGUGUGAUGACGUCUCAGUCAAUAACAUUAAUAAACAUCUUGAGUGAAAUGUAUAUAUAUAUAUAUGGACAUUUUACCACAACAAUUACAUGUCAAAAUAAAGUCUGUGUAAACAUGUUGAUCUUUC